AGAGACUGCAGUCGCCGCGGGAAAACGGAGGGUGCAAGCGUUAUCCGGAUUUAUUGGGUUUAAAGGGUCCGUAGGCGGAUCUGUAAGUCAGUGGUGAAAUCUCACAGCUUAACUGUGAAACUGCCAUUGAUACUGCAGGUCUUGAGUAAAUUUGAAGUGGCUGGAAUAAGUAGUGUAGCGGUGAAAUGCAUAGAUAUUACUUAGAACACCAAUUGCGAAGGCAGGUCACUAAGAUUUAACUGACGCUGAUGGACGAAAGCGUGGGGAGCGAACAGGAUUAGAUACCCCCGUAGUCCCUGUCUCUUAUAU
rnacentral:rRNA from 1 species